CAGAGAAUAGUUUAAUAAAAUAUUAGUUUUGGGGAUAUUAGAUUGAAAGGGGUUUAACUCCUUUUUCUCUGA
rnacentral:tRNA from 1 species